CCUACGGGGGGCUGCAGUGAGGAAUAUUGGUCAAUGGACGAGAGUCUGAACCAGCCAAGUAGCGUGAAGGAUGACUGCCCUAUGGGUUGUAAACUUCUUUUAUAAAGGAAUAAAACGAGGCACGUGUGCCUUUUUGCAUGUACUUUAUGAAUAAGGAUCGGCUAACUCCGUGCCAGCAGCCGCGGUAAUACGGAGGAUACGAGCGUUAUCCGGAUUGAUUGGGUUUAAGGGGAGCGUAGAUGGGUUGUUAAGUCAGUUGUGAAAGUUUGCGGCUCAACCGUAAAAUUGCAAUUGAUACUGGCAGUCUUGAGUACAGUUGAGGUAGGCGGAAUUCGUGGUGUAGCGGUGAAAUGCUUAGAUAUCACGAAGAACCCCGAUUGCGAAGGCAGCUUACUAAACUGUGACUGACAUUGAUGCUCGAAAGUGUGGGUAUCAAACAGGAUUAGAUACCCUUGUAGUC
rnacentral:rRNA from 1 species